rnacentral:rRNA from 1 species
AACGUAGGGGACAAGCGUUAUCCGGAUUUACUGGGCGUAAAGCGCAUGUAGGUGGCUUGAAAAGUUGGACGUGAAAGCUCCCGGCUUAACUGGGAGAGGUCGUUCAAAACUGGCAAGCUUGAGGUUGGAAGAGGAGAGCGGAAUUCCCGGUGUAGUGGUGGAAUGCGUAGAUAUCGGGAGGAACACCAGUGGCGAAAGCGGCUCUCUGGUUCAAUACUGACACUGAGAUGCGAAAGCGUGGGGAGCGAACGGGAUUAGAAACCCCCGUAGUCC